rnacentral:rRNA from 1 species
AUACAGAGGGUGCAAACGUUGUUCGGAAUUACUGGGCAUAAAGCGCGCGUAGGCGGUCAUGUAAGUGUGGAGUGAAAUCCCACGGCUCACCCGUGGAACUGCUUCGCAUACUGCAUGACUAGAGAACGGUAGGGGAGAGCGGAACUCUUGGAGGAGCGGUGAAAUGCGUAGAUAUCAAGAGGAACACCGAUGGCGAAGGCAGCUCUCUGGUCCGUUUCUGACGCUGAGGUGCGAAAGCUAGGGUAGCGAACGGGAUUAGAAACCCCAGUAGUCC